rnacentral:lncRNA from 1 species
CCAAAUUUAGAAGAAAUAUGAAAAUUGUCAAGCUCUCCUUCCUUAGGGGGUAAAGCCAACACUCCCCCAACACGGGCAGGUCAAGGCGAAGUGGUCACAUGAGCCGGGCCAGGGCCAAUGGGGGCUCUGGGAGGGCUGGACAGAGGGAGUUCAGGCCUUCUGGACUCCUCUUUCAGCUCAUAUAAGGAGGAAUCACCGGGAACAAAAGAAACUGACAACUGAUUGGGGCACAUUGAGAAGACCUUGAACUUCCAGAGAACCUACUUGUCUGAUGAUCCUUGAGAAGUUCUUCCUCUGGAUGUGGAUAGUGUUCUUUCUCAUAAGGCCCUCAGAAUUGUCCUGGAUCAUUGCAUUGCCACUAAUGGAGAAGUCCAUUACAAUCAAUCUACAUCUAAUUUCUACCAAAACUGUUUCCCAGUUUUCCCAGCAAUUUUGGUCCUAAAGUGAGUCCUUACCCUGGUAUUUGA